AAGAAGGGAUUCUCUUGGAAAAAGAAUAUACGUUUUGGUGUGUUUUGGGGUUUUUCUGGGGUUUUUUUUGUUUGUUUUUUGGUUUUUUGUGUUUUGUUUUUUGGUUUUGUUUUGUUUUUGUUUUUGUUGUUGUUUUUGGGGUUUUUUUGGUGGAGUUGGUUUUUUGGGAUUUUUUUGUUUGUUUGUUUGUUUUUGGGUUUUUUUGGGGUUUUUUUUUUUUUUUUUUUGUCCUGCCUAAGCAUGGUGGAGAGGACGAGGAGGAGGACUGCAGAAGGCUGCCUCGCAGGAGGCAGACCUGGAAAGAGUCCUUAAACUGAACCCUCAAAGGCGGCAGCCCCUGCAAGUGGGACACUCGCUGGAGUUACUGUCGCCGCUCAUGCCCUUUCUCUGUGGACGUGAGAGGCCGCCCCGCAGGAACCAAAGACCCGCUGCUCAGAGCAUUGCCGGGGCGAGGGAUUUCCAGAUGGACAUACGGAACGAGAGUGACUUUCAAAAACGGGCUUUUUGGACCAGCACUGGGGAAAAUACUGAUGUUCAGGUAAAACUGAAUAAUCAUAGCACUGGAUAAUAAUGAAGAAGCAUUUACAUCCCAUGAAUUAACUAUGUCUUUUGGUACUCACUUAAUGUCGAUUUGCUGCUCAGUACUUGGACAAAAUUCCUUUCAUUUCUAGAGGAAGAACUCCUUGACUGUCGACUUCAGGAAUCAGCUGGACACAGCUGUAAAUACCCUGUGACAUAUAAACACACCCUUUCAGAGCUGAAUGAAUGUUAUUUGCACAAAGGGAUAAAAUCUUACACCAGUGCACCUGAUCUCUCCAAUGCUUAGGAUUUUUUGAAUAGUGCUCUGUUUUUAAUACAGAUUUCAAAUGCCUCCCGUAUGCUUAAACUACUACAAAAUUCGUAAUUUUGGGUGAAUCAAAGUUUGUUUUAAAGUAUGUUUUUGCUUAAAAGCACAGAAAUGAAGACGACACUGGAAAACACGGUAAUUCAGUAGUGGAAAUAUUAUUGUUCUAAUGGCACAUAUUAACAGAGACAGAGUAAACUGGGUUCUGAAAAAAAUGUAUUACAGACCUUUGUUCCAAGUUAAUAGAAAAGGUCCCAAUCCUAAAAUCGUUUAUGCAUUUAUAAUUUGAAGUUAGCAAUUUGAAAUAAAGGUAAAUAAUUGGUCUUGCAAACAAAGUGUGUCCUUACGUCUUUGCACUUAAUUUAAUACAUUGCAACUCUGCAACUCAAGGGGAAAACUAUUUACAUUCUCUUGGAAAUAAAAUAUAAUUUAAGGAGCUACCUAUCUGGAGUUCACCUAUAUGUGUACUUAUACAUCUAUGACUUUCCAGGAAAAUGUAAUUCUAAAAUUACAAAGCUCAGUAAUACUAUUUCAAUCUACUUCUGAGUGAUUGUUACCAAUUCAUGUUGAUGGAGUCUUUCCAUGAUUUUAGCAAUCCAUUCAAAUAAUUCUUUUUUUUCUUAGUUGGUGAAUUAAUAUGUAAAUAAAAUACAGAACAUUGAAAUUUUAAUUUUCAAAUACCAAAUAUGUUUUGGAUUUUAUGGUCUGGCACAAGUCCUAUUUGAUUAUGGUUUCAGUGAGAAUAUCACUAGAUCAUUUAAUGCUUUUAAAAUACGAUUCAACUAAAAGAUCUUGUACAAGUGGCUAUUUUACUUGAGUACUAUGCUGUAUUACCUGCACAAGAGAACAACUAAUUUAAGCCAUUAGUUCUUCUAGAAGAUGGUGUGUAACACACAUGGGCAAAUCAGGAUUUUAUUUUCCUUAAGGAAAUUAAAUAUUUUUAUUCUGCUUUUUAAAAUGAAAGAUCGAAUAAUUUGACUUCAUUCAGACAAGCAGUUGCUUGUAUUCUGCUUCAAAAGCUCACUCACAACAAUCUAUUGCAGAAUGGAUGUUCACUAUAUUCCUAAAGCACUUUAGUAUGCACAGGGUUCAUGUCAUUAUGCCUGAAAUGACCAGUGAAGUGAUAAAUCAAAUAUUUCAGAUUACCUGAUAACUACUGCAAAAAGCCUUUAAACCUUAUUUCUGUUCCAGGCCUGAGUCAUGGGGUGGGGAUAGCCCUAAUCUGUAUGGGAGGAGCUAUGCAGCCAUGCAACCAUGACUGUAGCACACUAAGGAGCAUAUACAGCAUGGACAAAACUGGUGGCAGUAUGGAGAAGGGCAUAGCUCUCUGAAUUACCCUGACAAAUCCACACCUAUGUAGCCCAGAAAAUGAACUGCAAGUUUCAGAGUAAAGCUUUAGAACCUAGUCCUGCUCCCUUUGAUGUUAAGGACAAAUGUAUCUUUUGCCCAAAACAAAUGACUGAGUUCCCAUAAAUUUAAGCUAUUUAUUCAGUCUGUUACUCUCAGAUUAGUUUUUUGUUCUUCAAAGUAAAUUUUAAUUCAAAAGGAAGGAAUUUUAAAAAUCUUCAUGGAGGGAGUACUCAUAAAAUUUUCACAAAGUAUAUGGAAAGCUGUAGGUAUGUCUCUUGCUGCUGUUUACAACUGCUGCUGCUGUGUACUGAGAUAAGCUUUAUAAAUGCAAAGAUAGUAAUAAAGAAGGUAACAAAGAAGGGACCUCUUUUGCCCUCCUCACUCUGAUGUUUACUCUCCUGACUGCUAUAUGUUGUUAUUCAGCUUCAUCAAUUAUGUACAGCAUGUAAUACUGGAGUAAAAAAAACACCUGGAACCAAUGUUUUCUUAGAUAUUAUUGUUGUAAUUUGUUGUGUUGUUUUGGUUUGGUUUGGUUUUUUUCUGUAGAAUUAAUGAAAAAUGCAUUGGUUUUUAUCAUUUUUGUCUCUUUAACAGCCAGUAUAGCAUUCAAAUACCUGUCAUUUUAAGUUGUUUACCUGUUAUUUUAAGUUGUUGUAAUGCACAAACACUGUGCUUUCUGUUUACCUCUUAGUAAUUCAUAGGUAUGUAUAUUACCUUAUUACAGUAUAUGUAUUUCUAAUUAGAUAUUUAAAAUAAUUAGGACAUAUCAAUAAAAUAUUUUUUUUAAUUACAACUGUAUAUUUUAUAUACUCUCUCAAUAACUGGAAGGAAUUUUCCUAUAAAAAGUGGUAGCUGGUUAUCUGAAUACAGUAACGCAAUCGUUAUCUAUCAUCCUAAAUUUAAGUACUUUAUAAGAAGUACUAAUAGAAGUACUAUUAGAAGUACUCUAUUAAGACUUCUAUAAGAAUCUGGUGUUAAGGCUGUACUACACAAUGAUUAUGAAGAAUUUCAUAAUGCAUGCUGUGUGACAGCUAAUACAAGGGUAUAUUCUUUGCAUUGCCUUUAGUUCACAGGAACAAAUAAUAGCACCAUGUAACUAAUUGACUAGGGAAUAUUCACUGUGGAAAGUAAGCAACCUAAAUAUGAAACUGACAGUGGCACAGGUUAAAUAAAAAGUCAAAGAAGCCUGAGGAGUCAAAUAUUUGUAUGGUUACUUCCUUUAAGUUUACAGCUUCAUGGAGACUACUGAAUUUUAUUUAUUUUUUCUGGUAAACCAGAUGGAGGUAAUAUUUUUUCCUUCUUCUAAUUAUUUAGCUUAAUUGACUAAGAAGAAUUUAAUAUUAAAUCAAAUGUACAUUUUCAUUUUAAGUGGCAAACUUGCGUUAUCUCUACCAUCUUAAGAAUGCGCUUCUGUUUGUACUUAAUAUGAAUUCUAUGGCAGGCAUAUAUGUUAAAUUGUACAAUAAUGUUUCUAUGGAGAAAAAAUGACAAGACAAAAUUCUUCUGGUAGUUUCAUUUGAAUGUUAAAGUAAACUCUUUAUGCAAAGUACUAGGUAUUCUGAAUAUAGUUAAAAUAAAGAAAAUUAAAACAUGUAAUUUA
rnacentral:lncRNA from 1 species